UAACUGAAUCCAUAGGUUAAUGAGGCGAACCGGGGGAACUGAAACAUCUAAGUACCCCGAGGAAAAGAAAUCAACCGAGAUUCCCCCAGUAGCGGCGAGCGAACGGGGAGGAGCCCAGAGCCUGAAUCAGUGUGUGUGUUAGUGGAAGCGUCUGGAAAGGCGCGCGAUACAGGGUGACAGCCCCGUACACAAAAAUGCACAUAUUGUGAGCUCGAUGAGUAGGGCGGGACACGUGGUAUCCUGUCUGAAUAUGGGGGGACCAUCCUCCAAGGCUAAAUACUCCUGACUGACCGAUAGUGAACCAGUACCGUGAGGGAAAGGCGAAAAGAACCCCGGCGAGGGGAGUGAAAAAGAACCUGAAACCGUGUACGUACAAGCAGUGGGAGCCUCUUAAUGGGGUGACUGCGUACCUUUUGUAUAAUGGGUCAGCGACUUAUAUUCUGUAGCAAGGUUAACCGAAUAGGGGAGCCGAAGGGAAACCGAGUCUUAACUGGGCGUUAAGUUGCAGGGUAUAGACCCGAAACCCGGUGAUCUAGCCAUGGGCAGGUUGAAGGUUGGGUAACACUAACUGGAGGACCGAACCGACUAAUGUUGAAAAAUUAGCGGAUGACUUGUGGCUGGGGGUGAAAGGCCAAUCAAACCGGGAGAUAGCUGGUUCUCCCCGAAAGCUAUUUAGGUAGCGCCUCGUGAAUUCAUCUCCGGGGGUAGAGCACUGUUUCGGCAAGGGGGUCAUCCCGACUUACCAACCCGAUGCAAACUGCGAAUACCGGAGAAUGUUAUCACGGGAGACACACGGCGGGUGCUAACGUCCGUCGUGAAGAGGGAAACAACCCAGACCGCCAGCUAAGGUCCCAAAGUCAUGGUUAAGUGGGAAACGAUGUGGGAAGGCCCAGACAGCCAGGAUGUUGGCUUAGAAGCAGCCAUCAUUUAAAGAAAGCGUAAUAGCUCACUGGUCGAGUCGGCCUGCGCGGAAGAUGUAACGGGGCUAAACCAUGCACCGAAGCUGCGGCAGCGACGCUUAUGCGUUGUUGGGUA
rnacentral:rRNA from 1 species